UGCUGCCACUGUUUAAUUCUCAGUUCAAGCCCCGUGGAGAAUGCAAACGGCUCCGCUGCUCGGCCAAUUUACAGCUCUGACAAGCUGCUAAACAACGUCUUUGUCAGCGCCCGGCGGCCCCGGGCUCGCCGCGGGUGGCGGGGGAGGCGCAGAGCUCCUGGUGGGAAAAAACUUCCGUGGGUGUCCUCGGUGUGUUCAAGGAAACCAUCCAAGCAGCAAAGGAGGGAAUGGACAUUUUUUAGUUGCCGAGCCCUCAGAUCUCCGAGCCAUCAAAUCCCCGCCUGAGCUUCCCCGCUCGGCGAGAAACGAUGGAGAGGACGGGAAAAAAAGGGAUGAAAGUGAGGAAAUCGCUCCUGGAGCUGCUCACCUCUGCCUCAACCCCGCCGCUUUCAUGUCGCGCGGAUUUGUUUUGAUCGCUCUGAGCCGGGCUUGGUUUGAGUCCCGUUCCUGGGAUUCAUGGAAAUGAGGAGCCGCUAAUGAGCGCGGCUGCGGGAACGGGAGCG